rnacentral:rRNA from 1 species
CCUACGGGAGGCAGCAGUGGGGAAUUUUGGACAAUGGGCGCAAGCCUGAUCCAGCAAUGCCGCGUGCAGGAUGAAGGCCUUCGGGUUGUAAACUGCUUUUGUACGGAACGAAACGGUUCGCUUUAAUACAGUGGGCUAAUGACGGUACCGUAAGAAUAAGCACCGGCUAACUACGUGCCAGCAGCCGCGGUAAUACGUAGGGUGCGAGCGUUAAUCGGAAUUACUGGGCGUAAAGCGUGCGCAGGCGGUUAUAUAAGACAGAUGUGAAAUCCCCGGGCUCAACCUGGGACCUGCAUUUGUGACUGUAUAGCUAGAGUACGGUAGAGGGGGAUGGAAUUCCGCGUGUAGCAGUGAAAUGCGUAGAUAUGCGGAGGAACACCGAUGGCGAAGGCAAUCCCCUGGACCUGUACUGACGCUCAUGCACGAAAGCGUGGGGAGCAAACAGGAUUAGAUACCCUGGUAGUCCACGCCCUAAACGAUGUCAACUGGUUGUUGGGUCUUCACUGACUCAGUAACGAAGCUAACGCGUGAAGUUGACCGCCUGGGGUGGUACGGCGCGAGUAGUUAACGUUACGAAGAAGUUAGACGGCGNGAGAGNGCGACGGACGACGACGAGGGAGGAGG